CACAUGGUCAUUCUUUCUUUUUAUAAAUAAUUUAUUUGUAAGCAGAUCAACCUUGGUUUCAACAGUCAAUGAGUACAGAUGAAU